rnacentral:rRNA from 1 species
AACGAACGCUGGCGGCAUGCCUAACACAUGCAAGUCGAACGAGACCUUCGGGUCUAGUGGCGCACGGGUGCGUAACGCGUGGUAACCUGCCCUUAGGUUCGGAAUAACUCCCCGAAAGGGGUGCUAAUACCGGAUAAUGUCUUCGGACCAAAGAUUUAUCGCCUUUGGAUGGGCCCGCGUUGGAUUAGCUAGUUGGUAGGGUAAAAGCCUACCAAGGCGACGAUCCAUAGCUGGUCUGAGAGGAUGAUCAGCCACACUGGGACUGAGACACGGCCCAGACUCCUACGGGAGGCAGCAGUGGGGAAUAUUGGACAAUGGGCGAAAGCCUGAUCAAGCAAUGCCGCGUGAGUGAUGAAGGCCUUAGGGUUGUAAAGCUCUUUUACACGGGAUGAUAAUGACAGUACCGGGAGAAUAAGCACCGGCUAACUCCGUG